UCUUUGCUAGUAUAUCGGUUAGUACACGCGCCUGUCAUGUUCAUGGCCUUCUGGUACGCGCGAAAGCUGGGUUCGACUCCCAGGCAGAGAG